GAACCAAGGCUGCGUGUUUGCAAGUUAGAGCACCCCAGAAAGGUGAGUUGAGAGCUCAAACGGUGAGGUUUGGUAAAUUCUUGUUCCUAAUUCAAAGUUUCAUGUUACUAAUUUCUCAAUUCAUGUGUGCUUAAGGUUUGUGAUUUCAAGGAAACAAGAUAUUUUGUUUUGUAACGUUUGAACAACUGGAAAGAAAUGACUUGAGCUUGAGGGCAAGCUACUCGAGUUUCCACUUGAGGACAAGCUGCCGUUGAGUAUAGUGGUGUGAUGACCCUGAGAUUGUUGUUAAUUUUAAGUGUUUUAAUUGUCAUUUUCUUUGUUUUUAACUUAGUAAAUUGAGUCUUGCAUUGUCACUUUAAUAAUUUUACACUUUAUUUGCUUUUAAAUCCUUUUAGUGUGUUUUAGUGAGGAUUUGGCCCUUAGAGUUGCAACCUUUGCAUCUUUGGUCAUGUUAGAACAUUUAAGGGCAUCUUGGGCAUUCACUUAAGUUUCUCUACCUAGAAAUUAUUGUGAUAUAUUCUGAUUUUCCUAACCUUGUCUCACUCAUGUGCUUAAUAGCUUUGUUAAUUGAAAAGUUUCCAAGUCUUUGUGAUAAAAACAAAGAAAUCAUGCUUGAUAAUUGUGUAAAGAUUUGACCAAUUCAAGUGGAUACAUCACAAGAGAGACAAGGCUAGGAGAUGGCCUAAAAAGCUUGGAGAAAAAUAAGGAAAAGAAGCUCUUAUGGCAUCCUAGUCAUGAAACACAAAUUGUUUUAUCAUUGUUUACUUUGUUGGUGGCUUAAAGAUGGUGUAAAGAAUUGAGAAAAUCAAUUAAAAAUCAAGUCAAGGGGGACAAGAUGAUUUCAAGGGCUGAAUGGAGGCAAAAAGAAUGAAGAAUAUCUCAAAAGUGAAGAGAAUGGAAGCCUAGUCAUGAAACACAAAUGGUAAAACAAUUGUUUACUUUGUUGGUGGCUUAAAGAUGGUGUAAAGAAUUGAGAAAAUCAAUUAAAAAUCAAGUCAAGGGGGACAAGAUGAUUUCAAGGGCUGAAUGGAGGCAAAAAGAAUGAAGAAUAUCUCAAAAGUGAAGAGAAUGGAAGCUUAGUCAUGUUGCACAAAGUUUCUCACCUACCAAAACAAAGUUGGCGGUUUUUUUUUGCUAUAAAUAGACCCCUUGGCUUCCAUUGUAAUCAUCCCUUCACACCAUCAUUCUAGCAUAAAAUAGCUCUAGUUUCUCUUGUAAUAGCUUAGUUUCUUCUUCCAUUUGUGAGCAAGCCAUGGCCUUCUCCAAAGAACUUCAACUUCUGAACUUAUUAUUUUCAUGUAUGCUUGCUUCUCACUGAAUUAAACAAGCCUAGGAUUAGCUUCCUUCCGUUGAUUCAAGCUUGUAUGCAUGUUAGCCUCUUACUAAUUUCUUUGAAACCGACCGGAGAUUUGGAAUUAGGGAUCCUGUUUUGAAGUUACUUGAUUUGUUUCAUUACACUAGACAUGGGGAUGGCCUUCAAGUUUGUUGAUCCGACUUAUCUUUCUUAAUGCUUUAAGUUAAUUCACGGAAUAACAAGACAUUGUGACUGGUUUUAGCUUAAAAGGAUUACUCGUACGGCAAAAUCGACAAGUAAUUAAUGAGAUUAAAUCAUCUAGAUUUCACUUAGAGAAUAACAUGAAUUAGAACUUGGCUACUUACCCUAAAUUAGUGGAUUAUAAACCCAAAGCAUUCUUCUCUUA